CCAACUGCCAAGGCAAAUAGAAGAGCUUUAGCAGCAACUGAAAGUACAUAAAUCCCAGGCAGUGAGACCGUUGGCUACAUCACGCUGUGUGGAAAACCACCCUCUGGACGGGAGUGGGAGAGCCGUGGCUAACGCAGAGGGUCAGCAAGUUUACUAUCACUUUCCUUAUCACACCAGCAGAAUGGGAAUGUCCCACAGCACGGCUGCAGCCACGGCUUCCACACCACGUUGUACACAGAGAGCUGCUCUGGGACCGGAGUCAGUGUCCUGCGAUGCUCUUCGAUGGCUCUUCCAAUCGUCCUUAUGACAGUGCCAAAGAGGGGCUCAGUGUCAGCCGAGAGAGAUAGAAAACUUCUGGAUUGAAGCUCCACUUUCUGCUAUUGCAAACCACAACUAUGCCACUGAAGUGAAGGCAGCAGGUUCAUCUCCUGCCAGCUGCUGCCCACGUACCAGACUGUAUGAUAAGGCUAAACCACAGCUCUGCUUUUCCUUCUCUGGCCCACACAUGCAUUUCUGAAUUAGCUGCUAUUCCUUAAAGCUGCAAUGUUGGUCUCAUUGAUAGAUAUACAUAUUUCCCCAAUAUAGUCCAGAAAUAUUCAGUCCAACACACGGAAAUUUGGACAUUUUAUCAGCUUUAGUGAAGCAAGGAAUAAGGGACAUCCUUAAACAACAGCUAAUUUUUUGGUUUAAUGAUACCACAUAAAUAUUGAUAUUAUUUAAAAUUAAUAAGCUUAAUAAUACUUAUAAUCCUAUAUGAUAUUAUAAAAAUUACAAAACACUCACAUGGCAAAGUGCUGUUUAAAAGUUGCAAGAUGUUCAAGAAAAUUUGUGAUCAAAGAAAAACCACUUUACCUUUCAAUAAAUGAAAUGGACUCUCUCAAGAUAAGGGAUGUAGUUCUGUCUGUCACCAUUGGCUGCUCAGUAACUUCAUGGUUUCUCAUCAUAAUGCAGUUCCAGUAGCGAACAAACCCAUAACUUGAGAACCAGGAUACAAAGAACAGGAGACUAAACCCAACAAGGCAGGUCAGUGUUUUCCAGUGGACUGGAAUCAAGCCAGUCAUUCUUCCCAGGGCAGCAGUGAGUGCAAUGAGGCCAAUCAUUUGAGUAGAAAGCCAGAGUUUCCUUCUAAAAGCUCUGUCCAUCUCCGGUGUUUCUGUUGGUUGGCAGUCACUUAUUAGCGUAAAAGGCAUCCCGUAAAAAUAGUCAAAUCCAUGAUUUAAAGGGUGAUGGCAAUGGUCAUUGCGGGAUUCACAGUUAACACCUUGAUGCCACUUCCCUGAAAAUGUAGAUUUUUAAAACGUAAAGAGAAAAUAUAUAAAAAAAUUUUUUCCUCAUACAAAAUAUUUCUCCAAAAUGGUUGGUUUCAUUCUGCUGGUGAUGACUUCUUCAUCCUACACAGAAAUAUACUGAGUAUGUAGUGAUAUAAUGGGUUUGAUGAAAUCAAACCUCUACCAACAGUUAUUGGUGCUCUGCACACAUAUUCAUGCCCUUAAGCUUUUAUCAAAUAUAAAAAAAAUGGAUUAUAAAGGGAACUAGAAAUCGAGAAAAAUUCAGAACUGAGCAAAAAUAUAUGGCUUUUCUGGAGACCUAUCAGGUAAAGUAGGGGGAAGCUGUCCUUUUUUAAGCACAGGACAAAAUAACACUGUUCUGUUGUCUCUUUACCUUCAAGGUGCUAUGCAGACUUGUUUCUGAAAAGCUUUGAAGAGCUUGAUGUCAGGACUGUGGCAACACUCAUUGUUGGUGCCAGACCGAUAAGGGAGGCUAUGGAGAGUAGUCAAAUAACUGGCAGCUCAGCUGUCUGUUUUGCCAGAUAAACCACCAGAUCCUGAAAAACUUGAGCUCAGGAGAUCAGGAUUUCUCAUGAAACUCUACAUGUGAUGGAUUAAUUCUGACAGAUUCGUAAAGAAGCUUUCCCAUACAUGACUCUUUCUACACCUCGACUGGAGGGAAUGGAUACACAUCUGCACAGAUCUACUCUGCUCCCUGCAGGGCUGAACUGUUUCUGACAUAUGAUGAGGAGACACCCAUGGCAGAAAUUAAUAUAACUGGUGCUUUAGAAAUGUGUCAUUGUUGUUAUUCAUGUUUUGUGUAAUGACUUCUUUGAAUGUAACGAUUUGCUCUAACUUCAUUCUGGCUGCAAUUUAUACGAUAGAGCACCAAAAGGCAACCAAAAUUGUGAGUUGGGGGGACCAACAUGCUCUGCAGAGCUGUUUUUUCUCUUCUCUGCUUUCCCCCCAAUCAGUUGGAUGUACUCCAUAAAUAUAGAUGCCACCUCCAAGGUUCUAGGCCUGGCUGGUGUCUUGUGGGUCUCAGUGAGGGAUGAUGUGUCUGUGGCACCCCUUCUAUUUGCACACCCUCAUUUUUUUUUUGGUGCCCAUUGUAUGACAUUGUUCUCUACAGUAAUAAAGCAAUGUUUAAAGGCUGCUUGGCUUUGCGAGGCAAACCUGAUCGGAGGGGAUAUCUGCCAGUGAGGAAAGCUGCUCUGCUGGGGGUGCAAAGUGGAGCCGCAGCAAUGUGUUGGGUCAGCUUCACUCCUUCCUUUGCCAGGCGAUCAAUGUUCGGGGUCCUAAAAAUGCAACCAGCACCAUCAGAUAUCAUUCAGAGGGUUUUUCAAGGGAAUAAAGAAUUUUAUAUUUAUCUUUA